GGAUAAUGAAUAGUUGGAGUUGGUCUUUAAACUUUUAUACUCAUGUUUGUUUUCUAUCAUAAGCACAAAUAUCAGCAAGCUGGACAACUUUUUUGUUUUCUGAAAUUGUCAUGGAAGAUGCAGAUGGUGAUUGUCCUUGUUUUCUGAAAUCUGGAGCAUUUUAUCUAUUGCAACCAUUUUUGGUAUAUUGUAACACUUUUAGGCCGUUG
rnacentral:lncRNA from 1 species